AGAAACCAUGUUGCCAACAAGUAUUGUUUUGUGUGUGGGCAAGCACCCUGCAUAAUUUGAAAAUGGCCUAUAAUUUCACUAUACCAAAUACAAAUGAAACGGUAAUUGAUACCUUUGGGGUGUGAAUCCCAAAUCCAUUGUUAUUCUUUCUUCUUUUUUUUUUUAAACUAUCAUAACUAAAUAAACUUUGAUAAACUCAUAAAUAUGAUUUGUUAAUGGAUGUGGAUAAACAUUUUGGGCAUCCAAAAUAAAAGGUGGACAACAGGUUAGGGAUGGGAUGCUAUAAUUAUCUUAUGCCACAUAAAUCUCACAUCAAAUUGGGGUGUAAGAGCAUCAUAAUCAAAUCUUUCUUUCCUGAAUUAUUCAAAUAAAGCACAUUGAUAAUAUGAUGCAGGAAAAGUGAGCUCAAACACCAAAACAAAAGAAUCGAUAUAGAAUAGAAACAAAAUCACCAACAAGAGAGACUCAAUCUUUAAGAAAACAAAUCAAGAGAGACAAACACAAUCUUGAAAGCAAAACAAGAGACGCUCAAUCUUGCAAAAACUCAAAGUUUUAAUUUCAAUUAAUAAUUCAAGGACCAAAAUAACCAAUGGCUGGGUGCUUAUGUAUAUGCAUCAAACCAAAUAAAAUUGAAAAAUCUAACAAGUCUUAGAUCAAUAAAAAAAAUCCUAAUUUAACAACUGAAAUAAUAAAUACUAAUAUUUCUAAAAAUAAAAGGUAGAAUAAUCACACAAUAUUAAAACUCCUAAUCAAUUAAAAACCAAUUUCCAUUGUAGUACUUCAUUCUCCAUCAUUCUCUCUUAGUUGGAAAAAAACUCAACCUCGAGUUCUAAAGUGUUGAAAUAGCAAAAACUCCAUGAAGUUGCAAGCACUCCCUGAAAAUUAUUUUUUGCAUUCGAUAAGCAAUAUUAGCAAUAAGAUAGUCUACUCGGCUAUAAUAUUGAAUUUAGAAGGAACAUUAAAGUCAAUUUGAUCAACCUCAUCUUUGAGCUCUUCAUUGAUAGAAUCUUUACUCAUGGCACUUCAAAAUCUUAUACUAUAUUCAUUGUUCGAACUUCUUAAUCUGUAAUGUCGUGCUCAUCUUGUGUUUGCACAAUCAAAAUUCCCUCUAACAAGUUUCUCCAAUGUCUUCUUCAAUGCAUUCAUCAACUUGUUCUACACUGGUUGUUUAAAACGCUCAACUUCUAUUUUGAAUUGAUCAAAUGCAUUAUUGAAUUUUGUAUGAUUAGAUUGCAAAUUUGCAUGGUUUGGAUUUGGGUUUGUAAAGAAUUAACAGUGCUAGUGAUUUUGGUGACCUCGAUGUUGCUAAUCAAUGGAGGUUGAUAAAUUGCAUGUUCUGACAAUCUGACUUUUGGUUUUGGAGGAUAGAUGGUAGUAACAAUAUCUGUGAGUGAAAUAUCCAUCUUACAACAAUUUUCAUAACCACAAGUGUAAUUAAGUUCAAAUAAAGAUGAAAAAAAAUGUUUCACAUAUUGAAUUGAAAAACAGCCAAUUCCUCAAACAUAAAUAUAUUCUCCAAAAUGUUUCAUGUAAUACAUCCAUUUCAAUUUAUGGGAGAACCUAAACAAACAAGACAAAGCUUAUCUCACUUCUUUAUUCCUGAAGAACUAUACUUCUCCUAUCGGAAUUAUAUUCUCUAUAAAUCAUAAAUCAUAAGCAAGAGAAGCAUACAUUCUUGUUCAUCAAACCAUUAUAAAUCAUAUCAAUAAAGUAGCAUAUAGGAAUAGCUUAUCACAAAGCCUAAAGAAAAGAAAUCCACCAACCAUACAGAUGUUGGCACAAAUUCUGGAAACAAAUAGAAUUCCCAACUAGCACAGCAAGAUAAAGUUAGCGUGGGUGGAAUUUUGCUGGAUUAUCACAUACAUUUGACUUUGGGAAUCUGUGGUACUACCAAUAAUUCUGUUUGAUUUGUCUUAUUUUCUGUUCCUUUAGUAGACUUCCUUUUGGUAUGAAAAAACCAAAACCCUAGAUUUGGUAUCGGCCGAAUUGGCAAAUUAAUUGUGGGAAGAAAAAGAGACGAGAAACACACAAAUUUCCAGGUCGGCACCAAAUUGAUCUAGGAAAGGAGAAGAAAAAAUCACCAAAACCAAAGAAUUAAAGUAGAAUAGUAACCAAAAAUCACCAACAAGAGAGACACACACUAUCUUGAAGGGACCAAAUUAAAAAAGACAAUCAAUCUUGAAAGUAAAACAAGAGGAUACACGCUCAAUAUUGUAUAAACUCAAAGUUUUAGUCAAUAAUUCAAAGACCAAAAUAACUAAUGUUUAAGUACUUAUUAAAAUACACCAAACCAAACCAAAUAAAAGCCAAUAAAUCUUACUUCAAUAAGGAAACUAAAAUCCUAAUUUAACUACUAACAUUCCUAAAUAUUAAAAUCUAGAAUAAUUACAUAAUAUUAAAACUAAUAAAUAAAUAAAAACUAAUUCCCAUUGUUUUUCUUCAUUCUCUGCCACAAUAAUUCUAGUGUCAUUUGCAAAAAUACACAGAUUAUCAAGUGGCCUCCUACUUAGGACCAACAUAAUUUCAAUCCAUAAUAUCAAAUAUUUUUUUAUCACAAGUCAUUCACACUAAUUUGAAGUCAUUUCUUUAUUUGAAUUUUAAUAGUGAAGGUGCACUAUAAGAUGUAAGAAA